GGGGGUGGGGAGAGACAGAGAGAGAGACAGACAGAGAGAGAGAAUCUUAAGCAGGCUUCAUGCUCAGUGUAGAGCCUGAUGCAGGGCUCAAUCCCAUCAUCCUGAGAUCAUGACCUGAGUCAGUCAAGAGUCAGAUGCUCAGUCAGCACCCCGUUUGGCAGUUUCUUAAAAACCCAAACAUGCAUUUACGAUAUAACCCAGUGUUUGUACUCCUGAGCAAUUAUCCCAGAGAAAUGAAAACUUAUGUUCAGAAAAACAUGUAUACAACUUCAUAGCAGUUUUAUUUGUAAUAGUCAAAAUCUGUAAGUAACCCAAAUAGCCUCAACAAGUGGCUAAAACAGUAUUAUAUCUAUACCAUGAAUACUUAUUACUCUACAAUAAGAUGGGAUGAACUAAUGCUGCAAUGACAAGUGAAUCUCAAAAUUAUGCUGAGUGAAAAAAAAUCCAAUCUCAAAAGGUAUUCUGUAUGAUUCUAUUUAUAUAAUCUAAAAUGACAAAACUAUAUAGAGAUGAAAGAUUAGUGGUUGCCAGAGGUUGGGGAUGGUGGGAAGGGACAGCAGGGAGAGGGAAGGGUAACACUUAGGAAGGUCUUUGUGGUGUUGAAAGAGUAUAUCUUGAUUGUGGUAGUGGUUACACAAAUAUACACGUGAUAAAAAGUAGAAGUAUACACAAUGUACAAGUGUCAAUUUCCUGAUUUUUAUACUAAACCACUUAUGUAAGUUGUACUUGUUGAGGGAAACUGGGGGAAGGGUAUCAUUUUUCCAACUUGCUGUGAGUUGAACUCAAAAUGAAAGGUAAAACAAGACCCUAAAAAACCAUGACCAAAUGCACUGCGUGAAACUGAUUUGGAAGAACAAAAUUAUGAAAUAUAUAUUUUAGGGUGGUUGGGAGAUUUUAAUAUGAUUGGAUAUUAGAUGAUAUUAGGGAAUUGUUAAUUUUCUUACCAUUAUGUAAUGGUGGUAUAACGUUUGGAGAAUAUUAUGAAAGAAUGCAUAUUGAAGUAUUUGGAAUGAAGUGUUUUGAUGUUUACAACUUUCAAAAAAUUUUUUUCAGUAUAUACAGAGAGAUCAGGCAAACGUAGGCAAGUGUUGAGUCCAGAUGGAGGAUACAGGUACUCAUUGUACCAUUCUUUAAACUUUUCUGUACUGUUGAUAUUUUCAAAAUAAAACGUUUGGGGCAAAAUUAUCAGGGCGUUCUACAGACGAAUGCUUUGUAGCUUCAGGCUCCUGCGUGCACGCCUCGCUCAACCACUGCCGAGCCAGGGGAUGUCCCCUUUCCUGAGGCUUUAGGGCCACAGUCCACCUGCACCCUCCUACGCACUUUUAUUCCCAUCCCUGGUCCGCAGCGAUACUGGACACCUAUCGAGAAGACAGCACCUCCGACAUUCCUAGAGAGGCCGGCCUGGGGACUUGGGAAGCCGGAAGCCCGUCUCCAGGCACUUCCUGUCCGGUCAUUGUUCUCGCACCGGUAGGCGCGGGGCGCAUGAUCUAGCCUAUGUUCUGCUGCGGAGCCCGCGAGCUCUGGCCCGGCCUUUCCGCGGUGCACGUAGACAGUAUCAUCCUGGCCCUGAGAAGAAACUCAAGAAGAAACUUAAAGAUUAGAUGGGGCUUGACCUCUGCUGGGCAGCCCCCAGCUAUAAGAGUUCCCCUCCUGAGCAGAGACGAUGACUGCAGAACUGAGAGAGGCCAUGGCCUUAGCCCCCUGGGGCUCAGUGACAGUGAAAAAGGAGGAGGAAGAGGAAGAAAACUUCCUAGGUCAGGCAUCUAGCCAACAAGUGCACUCGGAGAACAUCAAAGUCUGGGCUCCUGGGGAAAGUCCCCAGACAGGCCUUGUCAUAUCAGAACAGGAGGAAAAGGAUCCAAACAUGUUCUGGAACAUGGCUGUAGUCCUGAAAGCAACACAGGAGGCACCUCCUGCCUCAGCCCUUGGCACCUGCUCAUUAUCAGGGACUCUGGCCAAGAGUGAGAUACUGGAGACACAUGGGAACAUGACCUCUCUAGGUGCUGAAACCAAGAACCCACAGUUACUGGUUCCAAAAACUGAGAUAUGUGAUGAAGCAGAAAAACCCUGCAUAAUGCCAGGAAGAAUCCAAAAAGUUAAUCCUCCAGAACCUGAGUUAGGAGAAGCCUGUGAAAAAGGGAACCUGUUAAAGAAGCAGAGAAUCAAGAGGGAAAAGAAAGAUUUCAGACAAGUGACAGUGAAGGACUGUCAUGUACCUGAAAGCUUCAAAGUAGAGGAAAACCAGAAAUGUCAGGAAUCUGGGGAAAGGUAUAGCCUUAGUUCUAGCUCUGUUAAAAAUCAGAAAAGCCAGCCUGGACAGAAGCCUUUUACAUGCAGUGUGUGUGGAAAAGGCUUUAGUCAGAGUGCAAACCUCGUAGUGCAUCAGCGAAUCCACACAGGGGAGAAGCCCUUUGAAUGUCAUGAGUGUGGGAAGGCCUUCAUUCAGAGUGCAAACCUUGUUGUGCAUCAGCGAAUCCACACUGGACAGAAGCCGUAUGUUUGUUCAAAAUGUGGGAAAGCCUUCACUCAGAGUUCAAAUCUGACCGUACAUCAAAAAAUCCACUCCUUAGAAAAAACCUUUAAGUGCAGUGAAUGUGAGAAAGCCUUCAGUUAUAGCUCACAACUUGCUCGGCACCAGAAAGUCCACAUUACAGAAAAAUGCUAUGAAUGUAAUGAGUGUGGGAAAACAUUUACUCGGAGCUCAAACCUCAUUGUCCACCAGAGGAUCCACACUGGGGAGAAGCCCUUUGCCUGUAACGAUUGUGGCAAAGCCUUCACCCAGAGUGCAAACCUUAUUGUGCAUCAGCGAAGCCAUACUGGUGAGAAGCCAUAUGAGUGUAAAGAAUGUGGAAAAGCCUUUAGUUGUUUUUCGCACCUUAUUGUGCACCAGAGAAUUCACACUGCAGAGAAACCUUAUGAUUGCAGUGAGUGUGGAAAAGCCUUCAGUCAGCUCUCUUGCCUUAUUGUGCAUCAGAGGAUUCACAGUGGAGAUCUCCCUUAUGUGUGUAAUGAGUGUGGGAAGGCCUUCACGUGUAGCUCAUACCUGCUUAUUCAUCAGAGAAUUCAUAAUGGGGAGAAACCUUACACAUGCAAUGAGUGUGGCAAGGCCUUCCGGCAGAGGUCGAGUCUCACUGUGCACCAGAGAACCCACACUGGGGAGAAGCCCUACGAGUGUGCCAAGUGUGGUGCGGCUUUCAUUUCUAACUCGCACCUCAUGCGACACCACAGAACUCAUCUUGUUGAGUGACAAGUACUUGUUACUCCAGGCAUUGAUCGUAAUCCACUGCCCCCUAAUUGGACACGUCUUUGCUGUUUUUGUUUGUAAAAAUGAGGCCCGCCAUGUUACAAGUAACAGUUUUCAAGAAUGCAGCACAGAACGCAUGACAAGCAUUUCAGAGGCUGACUUAAAGAAAGUGAAAGCAUCUAAAGGCAAGGACUGUGUUUUAAACUGUGCCCUCAGUAGUCCUGUUUGAAAUGGAAUGUGGCUUUCUUUAAAAUGGGUCAUGCAAAGCUAAGUGAUAAAGAUCCUGUUUGAGGAAAGGUAUUUUUAGCUUAAUUUUGUUUUUUGAGCCUGGUAAUUUCUUGAGCAACAGGCAGGUUGUUGGUAUAGGUCUGCCUGGUGCAAUUCUGGAGCUUUGAACCUUGUAUUCUAGUAUUUGGGUUAAGCAGUGAUUAAUUAAGGAAAUCACUUGGGGUAGCAAUUCACCAACAACUCACCUAUGAACAUUGAUUAGCUUUCCAUUCCUUAGGUAAUUUAAACAAAAAACACCCUAUUAACUGUCUCCUGGUCCUAAAAUGGAUAGAAGUAGGAAACAGCUGUUUCUCUUAUUAUCUGUGACUCGUGAACCUUGGUGUAGUAAAGCUCUGGGGACCUCUGAUGAGUCUUUUCUUCCCAGUGUGCAGGGCCAAACACUGGAGGGUUGAUGGAGACAACACGCUGGGGCACAAAUGUGCUGGCCUGUAUUCAUUUGCUAAGAUCAACAACUCUAAGUGACCCUAACUCCCAUUGUACUCCCAUCGGAGUAAGAUGCCUGUGACACUCCCCAGAUAGAGGAGUCAAAGAAUAAAGCUUGCCGAGAGGCAUAGCCACGUUGUCUAUGCUCAUUCUGCUUAGGCUCAGCCAGGGAGCUCAGUUUGGGUGUUAUUCUCACUUUCUGGCUGGUCUUUAGAAGAACUAAUGGAGUCCUAAUUCUGAGAGGGAGGAGGAAGAAUGGGACUCCUUAGGUCUUAAUUUGGUUUUUUUUUUUUGAGAAGUUCAAAGGUAUUGGAAUAUGAAAACUUAGAAGGAUGAAGAAACUGGCUAAGGUAAGAACCUUUGUUACCAUUGAGCCUUUAUUCUUAGUAAAAUGAUUUAUAAAACUAUGCAAGAGGUAGUUAUGUAACAUUGCCUUGUAUUUAUAUAGAACUUAAUUCUUUGUUUAAAUUUGAUUAUGCACCUUCAUGUAUAAAAACAAGAUUCCCAGCACUUCUCUCAUGCUUUCACAUAGAUCCUUACCUUAAUCUUUAGAACACUGAAAGAGCUGUUUGCCCCAUUUAUCUGAGAGUGGUCAAACAGCAAAUAACAGCCUACAUUCAAAUCCAGGACUUAAAUCCGGGUUCUCUUUGUUCUGCCAUGCUGUGUGUCUAACCACCUGUAAUCCUCACCUGGGUCUGUGCAGAGCCUGAGAAAGGGGUAUAUGGUCUCAUUUUCAGGUGAGGAAGCUGAGUGACAGAUUUGGGGAUGUGCCUUAGGCAGAGUAACCGGUAAGCAGCAAAUCUGAGACUAAAUGAGUUUCCCAAAUUCUGGAUCUCUCUCCUCACCCCAUUCAGCAAGCAGGUGCAUAUCGUAAGUGCCCUACCUGUUGAUAAGCGAUCUGGUGUGACUGUCAGUAGAAGUCCCACCAUUGGGACUCAUACUGGCUCAUUUGUUUUGUAUUUUACAGAGCAGUUUUAAUGUACAGAAGGCAUAUGUAUAAACAGGAAAGCUUGUUUAUUUUCUCUUCCCCCUUCUCUUCAACCGUGGUGUUUUAUCCAGGCAUGUGCACCUUCUUUUCCCAGUUGCAUUGUCAGUCAUACACAACUGUAAGAAGUCAGUAGAAUUCAAAAGUGAGAAUCAAAAAUGCUCAUGUCCUCACUGACCCUGACAGUCCCUAUUCCUGUCUCCUAGCUAGCAGUGGAGAGACCCAAAGAUAAGACCUCAUGCUGAGAAUAGGAACAAGCUUAGGUUUUUCCCUCUGCAGGAUCAGGAAGCCCAGAAGAGAGGGAGAGCAGGUCUGAUGAUUUGGGAUAAAUUGGUGAUCUAGACCUAUCAAGAGACCAAAAGUACUUUCCUGAAAGGUACCAGCUGGGACUUAUGACCAUUGGGGCAGUUAAAUUGUUUUAGUUCCACAUUGUGUGUUCAUCCUCAUAAUUGGAUGCUCAUCAUGGAUGAUUGUGAUUUCCUGGCUAAAGGUUGCUAUUCAUAGACAAUUCAGAAAAGGCUAUUCAGGUGAUUGUGAUGUGAAGGUGAAGCUUGAUUUGGGAAUCAGACCCAACUUCUCAGUGAAACAGUGGUUUUCACUUAGCUGCAUGUUAAAAUCACCUAGUGUGCUUAAGAAAAUUUCCAGUCCCAGGGCCCAGUAUUUUUUUUAGUUCUGGAGGGAACCCAGUGUGUAACCAAGGUAAUGGCCACUGUAGUCAAAUAAAGUCUGCAGGCCACAAAUACAUGUGAUCAAAGGUGGAGUGGGGAAGCCCUAGAAUAAAGAUCUGGAUGUGUGUGUGUAGAGUGUUCUGUGUGGUUUCAGCAAAACAAGAUGCUAACGACAUUGGCUGUACUGGGUGUCCUGUACCUUGGCUGUGAGGAUUCUGUGACUGACUCUGUUUGUAUUUUAAGUGAUACACCACACUUUUUAUUUAUAUGAGCAAGCCACAUUUUACAUAACAUACUUUUAUAUUCCUCAUUCAACAAAAUGACUUUUUACAUUUCUACUGUAUUUCAUUUCAGGGUCUGGGUUUCCACAAACCUUCACCCACGUUCAGGACCUCCAAUCCUUCACAAAUCAUGGGAACCUAAUGGAUUACUAGAUAGACCAGAUCCUUACCCAACUAACAACUCUUGCUUCCAGUUCAACGCCAGCCCUCAAAAUAAAUCACAGCCCUCCUUUUUCUGUAUGGUUCCUGAUAAAUGACAAGGGACUGCUCCUUAUUGUCAGAUUUGGCUUAGCUUUUCCUUUUCCCAGAGGUCAGCUCCUUUCUCCUUUUGCUGUUAUUUCUAGAAGUGGAUGGGAACUCUGAAGCCCUGCUUCUUAAGUUGCCAAGAGCUAUCAAGGAGCCAGACCAGCUGAGCCAAGAAGUCUCAAAUGAGACCAACAGUUAUGUAUCAGGUGGAGCACAGUGAUGUAAAAGUGAUAAUGAAAUCUUGUAUUUUGCGGGGCACAGGUGAGAGACUCUUCAUUGAGACACACACACAGAUGCACACCCCUACGUCCCUCAAACAUUUGCCCGUGAAUUCCUCUAGGCUCAGGAAGAGGUGUUUGGGGCAAGGCUAAUAUUCUUCUAUGUUCUGGGUCCCCUCCCUUCCUUGCCUAGGUAGUUGUCCUCCCACAUCUGUCACUUCACUUGCUCCAUUCUGUGCUCAAUCUUUCACAGCCCCUUUGAGGAUCUAAUGGAGGUUGAAGAUACUCUUCCAGAGAAAUGCAGAUAGCACAUUCAGUUUUGCACUCAUUUGUGGGGGUGCAGAUAAGCUUCCUAAGGCCAGUUAUUGGCUCCUUUAGGGUGUAAAGUCACACUUGGGAAUGCACUACAUAAUUGCCAUUGACUUUUAUUUUUAACUUAUUUUAUUUUAUUCUUUUUAAAUGGGCUCUACACCCAGCAUGGAGCCCAAUGUGGGGCUUGAACCCUGAAAUUAAGACCUGAGCUGAGAUCCAAGAUUCAGUCACUUAACUGAGUCACCCAAGUGCCCCAUUACCAGUGACAUUUUUAAAAAAUGAGGUUGGGGGUGCCUGGGUGGCUCAGUCAGUUAAGCCUCUGAUUCCUGAUUUUGGCUCAGGUACUAAUCACAGUCAUGAGAUGGGGCUCUGCACUGGGCAUGGUGCCUGCUUAAGAUUCUCUUUCUCCCUCUGCCCCUUGCCCACUGGUGUAUGCUCUCAAAAAAAAAAAAAAAGGUCAGAAUCUCUCGAUGUUGCCCAACUUUUUAAAUCUUGCUUUUCCUGGAUUCCGCCUUCAACAGAUGGCAGCAUUAUGCAGCAGCCCAACUGGAAACCCAUGAUAUUUCUGGUUCCCCACGUGUCAUUCUCUUAUUAUAACAGUACUUACUAUUCACUCUCUUUGUGGCAAACAUGGUGCUAGUUCCUGGAGUGCAGAGGCAGACAAGGUCUAUCAGAGCCUCUUCUGAUGUCUCCUCAGAAACCUCUGGAUUCCUUCACAUGAUUUAUUAAGCUCUUCACUUCCCAUGCACCUUUUACUGCAACCUGAAGGCAUGUGCUUGCUCUUCUGUGUGCCUUUGCUCACACUGUCCCCGGUGCUUAUUACUACCACUUCCUACCCUACCUCUGUCUACUUUACCGAACUUUAGGUUUCUUUUACAUUGAUUCCAGUCCCAUCUCUGAGAACCCUCUGACUCCCCUACAGCAAGGAUACAUUUAGAAGUACAAAGAGCAUAUGAUAUGUAUCCACUCUGUUUUAAAGUGAAAAAACAACAACAACCCUGGAUUCAUAAUUAUGUGUAUAGUACAGUUCUCAUUUGAGGUUACAUAUACUAUUGUAACAUACAUAUGCUAUUAAAUAAUAAAUAAAUUACCUGAAUGAAAUAUAAGAAAAUGAUAUAAGUGGUUAAGUGGCUUGUUCACAGCCAUACAGAUAGUAACUUGCAGAGCUUAGGCUCAAACCUGGUCCAUAUAGAUUAUAAAAUUAUGGGUGAUUAAAAAUCUUUUUUUUUCUUUUUAACUAAUUUCCAUGUUUUCUACAAGGAACAAGAAUUUUAUAAUCAGAAAAAAAUUAUUAUAUUUACAUAUUUAGUUUGAAUGUAUUAACUAUAAACAGUACUUCAUUUCCGUAUUUAAGGUGUGGGAUAUGCCCUGCCAUUUCUUUCUCUUUCCAUUCUCAUGUCUUUGCCUCUGACAAUGUCAAGUCUGAUAAUUCUUGAACUCUAUUCUGUCUUCUAUGCUUUGUUUAUUGAUUUAUUUCAAAAGUUUAAAAUAAACAGCAUGAAUGUUAUUCUGACCAUGUAAAUGUUCACUGCAGAUCUAAGUAGCUUCCUACGACUAUGUAUGUUUUGAAACAGCAUUUUGUUUUACUGGAGUUUCUAUUUGCCCUUCUUUUCCUCUUGUACUGAUUGCUUUUAGCACACUCAGUUAUUUUCAGAUUCUCCAUCCAGUUCGAUACUCUGUAGAAUCCCCAUUUUUUAUUUAAGAAACCUCCAGCCUCCUGCUCUGGUCUGUCCUUGAUGUUUUCCUGCCCACUGUUUUCUUGUUAUACUAGGCUUCAUUGAGUUCUGAAUUGUACAUGUUGCUGUUUGUUCAUUUACUUUCUCAUUUCACUGCAGUGUAUCUUCAGGUCAUUUGCCAAGAAAGAGUAUAUGAAAGACAAAAUGUUGAGUGCUUAAUAUAUCGUAAACAUCUCUCUCUGCCCUCAAGUUUGAUUGGUGCUUUGGCUCUGAAAUUCUACAUUGAAAAAUUUCCCCACAAGUUUGUGGAGUCUUAUUCCUGUCAGAUUCUUAUUUCUUGGACAAUCAAUAAAUACUAUUUGUAUUACUGUGGUCUGUUCCCCUACCCCCAUGUCCGGAAGCUUUUAAAGUCUCCUCUUUAUUCUUGGUGCACUCAAUUCCCCAAUGUUCUCAGUGGAAUUUUUCAAUCUAGCAACUCAGGUAUUUUUAUUCUUGGAAAUGUUCUUGUGUUACCCCUUUCCAUGUAUUUAUUUUUCCUGUUUUUACUCUUUCUGGAAUUCCUGUCAAUCAAAUGUAGGACCUUGUGGGUUGAUCCUAAACUAUUUUCUGUGUUAUUUCCAUUUCCUUGUUUUGUGCUAUUUUCUUGGAGAGUACCUUCAUUAUUUUUCAACCUGCCUAGCGAAUUUCUUAUUUUGGCAAUAAUUAAUUUCUAAAAAGUCUUUUCUGUUCUUUUUUUGUAGCAUACUAUUCUCAUUUUAGAGAUACCUCUCAAAUCUGUUCUGAUGAGAAGGUUUCUAAUUAAAGGUUUCUCUGUCAUCUGAUAUCUCACCCUUUCAUGCCCUUGACCCUGGGUCCUUUUUCUCUUUGUUUCUCUUAUUUACUCUCAUUGGAGACUUUCCUCAAAUAUGUUGUGCCUCUUAGUGACACACACAAAAGUAUCAAAAGUCCAAUUGAGACCUCUGUGUGUUCGAGUGGAGAGCGAGCUCUUUCCCUGGAAACCUCUAAAUUCCAGAAUGCUGAAAUCUUUUUUCUGGGGCUCAUCUGCUGCCUUAGCAGGAAAUCCUCUGAUAUUUUUGUCUGGGGUUUGGAUGCUAUAAGUGUUUCUCUAGGAAUGGGAGAGAAGAGAAUCAAGUGUUAUUCUAGACCUUCAGUUAAUGCCCUUAUUUUUAGCCUCACUUCUUCCUCCUUAAUGUACCUGAGAUUUCCAAGUCCCAGAUUGUUUUGGGGCUUGGCAGGGUAGAUCUGCUACCUCUUUCCAUUGUAUUGCCCUCAGCAAGUAUCUCAAGCUGUUAAUCUGUCCAUGCAACUUUCUCAGUUACCAGUUCAUCCAUUUUACAUCUUAUAGAAAUUUAUUUGCCUUAUCCCAUCAUUAUUUAUACAUUUUAAACCAUUUUAAUCCAUUAUCAUUUUAGGGGAAGUUAAACCAUUUAAAAAGAAUGUUGAAAUUCUUUGCUAUAGUAUACUACCACUUAGCUAUCUGAAAAAUGAAUAUUUUAACACUUAUAUACUUGUCAGUGUUACUAUUUUACAAAAAAUGGAAACAACCCAAGUGACUAACAAUAGGGGAGUGAUUAAAUUAUGAUACGAUGAAAUAAUAUGCACCCACUAAAAUAUUCAAAAGACAGUUUAGUGAUAUAAAAUGUUUAUGAUAUUAAAUGGAAAAUGCUAAGUACCAAAUUAAAUGGUGGAAACAGAGAGCCCAGUUUUCUUAAAUAUACAUGCAUAGAAAAGACUGAAAGAAAAUAAGUACACUGGUGAUUAACAGUGGUUAAAUCUUACUAUGUUGUCUCUAUUUUCUAUAAUAAGCCCUUACUCUUAUCACCAGGAGGGAAACGGCAAAUAAAAAAGAUCAUGGCUUGUACAGAGUAGUGAGGCAUUUUGAGGGACUGUGAUCGUGGGGAGCAGCAGAAUAAGGGACUGGGGAACAAAGUGCCCAGUUACUGAUGACUUCAUGCCAGGUGAAGGAGUUCAGUCAGGGAAUAUAUGUAACCUCAGUGUUUGUGACGGCCACUUGUGGCUGGAGGGUGGUGAGGGGAGAAAGGAAUCCUGGAGACCAUACAGAUAGCUUUUGUCAGACUCCAAGGGAGAUUCUGACCCAGGCAGUGGCAGGGGGCCAGAGGAGAAGGGACAGGUGGAAUAAGCAGGCCUUAGGGGUAUGAGAGAUCAAGCAGCAAAUCCCCAAUCCAGAAAUCAGCCUCCACACCCUGGUGAAACAUGACUUGUGACAAAUGGGGCCUGACCCAGACUUGAGAAGCCCUGGUUUCCUUGUGCCUCUCUGGGGCCACCGUGUGUUCACAGUGGUUAAUACUUCUGUGGUGUUGGGUGGGGAUUUGGGGGAGGCAACCCAAGUCCUAGCAGGCUAGUAGUAAGGUAGUAACCACCUCCUUAGUUGAGGGGUUCCUGUGUGGGAAGCUAAAUGCCAGAUGUUCUUUAAUUCAUUUAGUCCUUACCUGAGGAGAGAAGUUCUCUUAUAAUCCCCGUUUUCAAAGCCAGUAGUCAUGGUCAGGGUUAGAAUAGCUCUGAGGCCAAACAAACCCUGUGUCGCUUUCUCCCAAGCUGCUUUCUCAGUGUCCCUCCAGAGACCCUUCUCAUCAAAAGUACAAAAGCAAACAAUGAAGAGUAAGUCCUCCAAGCCCAGAGUACCCCAGGUUAUUAGUACCCUGGAGAUAACUUUAAAAUUUCGUGACCCUUCAUACAGAGUCCAUGCAUUAACAAUCAUAUGUAUCCCCCUCUGAAACACACAAACAGGAGCUUAGGAUAUGCACUUUUUUCAUUUAGUGUGUCGUGGAGAUGAUUAUAUAUUAGCCUAUAAGAUCUAUCUCAUUCUUUUUUUCUUUGCCAUGUGAUACUGAAUAGUAUGGUUGUACCAUGACUCAUGUAGCAGUGUCCUGUUGGUAGUUGUGUAGGUUCUUUUCUAUCUUUUGCUUUACAAACAAUGCCAUGCUGAUUAUCCCAGCACACCAUCUUCUGUGUGUGACUUUGUUUGCAAGGUAAAUUGGUAAAGAGUAUAGGUACGUUUGGUAUUUUGAUAGAAAUUACAAAUGUGGUUCCCAGUAUGUGUAUGAAAAUGACCAUUUCUGUGAGUCUUAUAUAAAAGUAUUGUUUUCUGGUCUGGUAAGUGAAAAAUGCUCUCAUGUUUUAUUUUUCACUCAGUUAUGAGUGAAACUGGAUAUCGUUUUAGGUGUUUAAAAAGUUUUUCUUUUUUCUGUGAUUUGCUUGUUCAUAUUCUUUAACAGUUUUGUGUUGGGUUGUUGAUCCUUUUAAGAAUUGGUUUUUAUAGACUCUGCUGUAGUAAAGAAAUUACUUAACUGCCAUAUGUGUUGCAGAUAUUACCCAGUUUAUAGUUAGUCCUUUAAUUUUUAUGGUUUGGAUAUUUAAGAUGUAAAGUCAAAUCAUAGAUUUCUCCUCUUCAGAUUUUACAUUCUCCCAUGAUUUUGCCUAGUCCUUUGAGUUAGGUCAUUUGAAAUUCAUUUUGGAGUAACAGGACUGAGUUGGGUUCUGGCCUCACCCCCUGUCCCUUUUCCUCUGGAUCAAACAGGAGGAACCAGCUGGGAGAACCAUAAAGAUGAAGACCCCUCCUGUUUUCUUAGAGCUGCUAGGUGAAAGCCUACAGCCCCAUACUUCUGCCCUGGUGGGUACACUUCAGAGACCCGGCCCUGAGGUCCACGUUGGGCCCAAAGGUGCUGCCUCCUUGCACUCUGGUUAUUGGAGGGCAGAGGUCACGGGAGGGGGUGGCAUGGGGAGGAGGUGCUGAAGGUAGGGGAGGAGAGGCCAUAUUCAUGUACAAGGGAGAGGAAGGACCUUGCAGUAGUCCUGCGCUGGGAGGGGCAUGUUGAAGAGAAAGUGAAGGGUGGGCUGCAGCCUAAGGUCAUCGAGGUGAUAGAAUAGUCUGCAACUGGGGUGGGGAGAAUGGAGGCGAGGGCCAGCUGGGGAGAAUCAGCAAUGGAUGGAAAGAGCAAAGACAUGGAGGAGGUGGUGGGCAGGGAAAGAGGUGGCGUGGGGGUUUGGGGGUGGGUGGUUGGAAAAAAGAGAGGCUCAGUCCAGGGCAAGCGAAGUUGAUUUCUCUGGCCUUGGGUGGGUGGGGCAGGAAUCAGGCCAUACCACUGGGGACAAGAUGAUUCUCUCAAAUGCAUUCUCUAGAAUGCCUCUCACUUACCUGGAACCCAGGACAAAUUCCUAACCUCUCCCAACAUAAGUCUUCCCUCCACUUCUUCCAAGAUGAGUGUGAGGCUGGGGUAAAUGAGGGAUUUGAAAAGUCAUUGUAACCAGUAGAAGGUUGCUUGGCUGCACAAGCCUGGCAUGUUCCUGUUGGAGGACAGCAUGGCAUGGAAAAACAAGCCUUACCUGAGUGGCCAAACAAUUUUACUUUAAUAGUUAAGCAUAGGAUGCAGUUCACACUGACAGCCUUUUGCAUAGGUGUCAAUGCGAGGAGUCCUUGAGCAGUCUUUUUGUUGUUGUUGUUGCUUCCUGGUAGUGGUGGGUCCUGAGCUAGGCAGAGACUAGAGCCAGCAAAGGGCUCAGCCAAGCAUAAUCUGGCCCUUGGAGCUGAGCCGGAUUCCCCAUCACUGCUGCUGGAAGAGUUGUUCCAAAUUUAGCAAAGCUUAGAGAGUAAUAAGCAGAGACCUUGGUUGAUGAGAGGACAGAAAAUGAGGAAAGAUGUGAAGUCCUAACUCAGGUACCAGAAAAGAAGUACAAUGGAGUCCAAGGUGCCACUCUCUGCUGAGGAAGAAGCCAGAUGGUUCUGAGGCCAGAAGGAGCUAUAAGAAGAUAGAUAGCUCAGGAAGUAAGUCUGGCAGGGUCUGGACCUUAAGCAAGAGCAGAAUGAUGGUCCCUGGUCCCUGACAACUAUGGGGCUGAAGUGGCUUCCAGAGGUUGGGGUAGGCUAGAGCACCUUUCUUUCCUAACAUCUUCCUGGGCACCACCGGGCCUUUGGAAUAAUAGGUGCCCACUGUCAUAGGCUGUGUUCAGGCAGAUGACCCUCCUGGGAUGGGCCACAUCUCUGGUGAAGAAUGUUUAUUGUCCUUUUAGGUGACACUCUCUGAGCCCAAGGAAACUACCAUCAGGAGCAAAUCAGGGCUUCUCUGCUGUCACUUGGGGUUGAAAGAAUGUAAUACACACAAAUGAGGACAACCUGAACGUGGAGGAGUGCUGGGCCCAUGGCUCUGGACUUAACACCACCACCACAGCUGAGGGUGGACAUUUUUCAAUGGAGUUAAGUUGUCCACAACUGAAAGUGAGAAGUAGAAAGAUGGGCUUGCCCUAAAAGAGGGUGGUUAAAGGAUCAGGGGCUGCUGGGGUAUGGGUGAGACUCAUCUGGUCUUCUCAUAAGGCAUUCUUUGUUUCCUGGUGGGGCCUGGACCCUUGAUAUGUAAGCCCAGAUGCAUGGGGCUCAGUUUUUUAUUAACUUAUUGUCCAAGUGGCUAGUUAGUAUCAAAAGCCGUGCACCAAGCAUCUAUGAGGGGCCUUUCAGGACCUGCUCUGCCUCUGACCAGUUGAGUCACCUCAGGGAAGUCACAAAACAUUUGAGUCAGUUUUCUCACCUGUCUUGAUGAAGCAGCAUUUCCUACCCUGCUAGCUUCACAGGGUGGUGUGCAUCAAAGGAGACUGCACCAGGAUAGGGCUCUAAACUGUUCAGUCAUAUAUAGUAUUGCUGUGAGUAUUAAGUAGGCAGAACUCCUUGUCCAAGAAUAGAAGGUAUGCUCUUUGGGAGGGAUGCAUCAGUGAGCUGUAUGGUGCUUGUAUCCCCUCCUGGAGAUGACUCUUUGGUAUAUGUCUUUUUUGCCUUCCAGUCCCAAACCUUCCCAGAAAGUUUACCAUGUCCCAUUGCCCAGCCAGGGAAGGGGAGAACAUUUCAUAUUUAGCCUUAACUUCUCCAUGCCAAAAGUAGGCUUUUCUCUGGCAUUUCUUUCCAGGUCUCAGACCCAGCCUGGCAACAGUAGCAUAAGAUCUCGGAGAAAGCCACCCAAGAGCAAGGCCAAGGCUGCCUCUGCCUUGAGCCUUCUGAGGCCACCUGCUGCCCUGCCUGGGACCCAUCUGGUUCCUGCGCUGAGGGCCACUGCUGGGGUAGUGCUGCUGGGACUGAAGUGGGGAAUGUUAGGCUGGAUAUUGAGACCAAAGUUAAGAAGGAGAAUGUGGUUCUGAAACACAGUGAAUCUAAAGGGAGAAUUCUCUGGAAGACUCCAGGGUGAAAUUUCCAGAGGUCUGUGCAUUUGGGGAAGUCAGAGGAGGCAGCAGCAGGAGGGCAGAGCAUUCUGAACAGCCUGAAGACAAGCAAGUCAGUCAAGAUGAGCCAAGCACCAGCCAGGCCCCAUCAAAAGAAGAGAAAAUGCUUCCCAGGAGAGAGAGAGGCCGCAACUAUAUGGGACUCAGGGGAUGUGAUUGCAGUGCCAGUCCGGCAGCCCCCAGUAAAAAUCUCUGUUCAUGUGCUGAGUUUGACAAGGCAUUUGGCUAGAGCUCCACCCUAAUUAUAGACCAGAGAAUCUAUACCUGGAGAAGCAGUACAGGUGUAGGGAGUAUGGGAAGGCCUAUGCUUGCAGCUCCCACCAUACCCAGCCACCAGAAGGUGCACGUGGGGGAGAAGCCCUUGUCUGCAACAUGCAGUAAGGCCUUAAGCCAGGGCUGAGGCCUCAUCAUGCACCAGGGCAUGCACAUGGUGGGGAAGCCCUAUGAGUACCCAGAGUGCAGCAAGGCUUUCACCUGCAGCUCCUACCUCCUGGUGCACCACACAAGUGAGAGGCCCUGAUGAUGCACACAGUAAAGGAAGGCCUUUGGCCAGAGCUCCCACCUCAUCUUUCAACAAACUACUCAUGCCCAGAAGAAACACCAGCCAGCCUCCCUGGUCAGAGCCUACCUAGUGUGAUGGAGUCAAGGUUUCAGGUCCAACACUGGAUCUAACUAAGAGGAAGCUGAGCCCUUGUCAUCAGGCUUGCGUUUUGCCAGGUGCUGCAAAUAAGGCUGAGGCAGGUUCCCAUGAAGACCUUCAUUGUUUUUGGAGACGGAUGUACACACACAUAAACAGAAAUCACUGGAGGACAUUAGAAACAAGACAUCAUUAAAUGCUGAGAUGUGUGCUGAGAAAUCAAGGUCCACAUGGAGGGAGUGCUGAUGCGGCCUUAUGGGAGAAUGGGUUUGGCACUGGGUUAAUGGGGAGGAGCCCAGGGUGGGUGGAUAUGGGGUUACUGGGACAAGCUUGGUUGCAUAUGGGGAGGUAGGAAGACUCGGGUCAAAAACCCUGAUGUGUGGAUGGUACAAAGCAAGGUCAAGCCCCUCCCCAUAGGAUUUGGCUUCCUACACCAGUGUGACCUUGUGCAAGCCACUGAGGAGGCUGAGCAUCAUUUACCAUGGUCCAAUGUAGGAGUUGGAUGCUAGGGGCUUUGAGCUAGCUUCUCACUUUGACACCUGUGGUUUCCAGAGGUAUGAAAUGUUUGUCAGAAUGGGGACUAGUGGAGAGGGAGAUGUGGGGAGGAUAAAGCUGAUGGUGACUCAGGGUAGACUGGUUAAGAAAAGAGGAAAAGGGGACCACAUGGAAGGCAGCAAGGGAAAUCUGUUUAGUUUGGGCUGAAGGAGCUCCCAGUUCUCUCUUUAGUUAGUGUCCAUUCAGCCCUAAGCUGAGUGUGCUAAGGAAUCCACAUGAGAGAGACCUGGUCCUUAAGAAUGAAGUCCCGCAGGGGAAGUAAGAACAACACAAGUCAGAACAUGCUGGUGGCAGGACAGCCAAGGAUCAUUGUGGGAAGUUGAGGGGUGAGUGGAGUGUGAAGAAAGCAGACUUGAAGGGUGGGUAGGAUUUCAAAACUUGAUGGUGGAGGAGUUCCUAUUAGAAGGAUUUGUUGGAAAGCAAGGAGUAUGUGGGGAUGCUGUGUAUGGUCUUGGCUUGAGACACAAAGAUGGCAUGUCAGUUGUGCUCUGGAUGCUUGGAAAUGCUUGUUCUUUGUGAGUUGGAGUCUAGGAGUCUGAAAUCCUUUCCAGCAUUAGCUCCUUUUGUAGUGUGGAGGUUUUAUGGACAAAGAAAGUGUCUGUGCUUCCACUGUCACUAAGCAGUGUUUAGCAUGAAAUGCUGAUGGUGCAUAAUCUAGUAAACAGUCCAGUAUGCCUGAUGUUUUGGUUGCCAGCAAUAUCAUGGAGCCCUUCAGGCAGCAGGGAGUUUAAUAAAGGCUGAUUUACAGAGGCAUGGCAGGGGAUGGUGACACACCAGAUACCAGCAACAGCUGGAGCCUGUGUCACUCCUAGCUUGAAGGCACUAGAGAAGAAAUGUGUGUGAGCCAGGGGAAAGAACCUUUCCCCAGGAGUUAUGGUUAUAGGGGGAUGGCCACUACCAGAGUCAUGGUGUCAGAGCAGGAAGGGAGCAGACAUGAGUACCCCAUCCCUUUCUCCUCCCUCCCUCUGACCUAGUGGUGCCUCCUACCAGGACCAGGAAGCUGGAGGUAAGAUAAAGGGAAUCGGGUUAAUGCCAUCUACUGGGACCUGUGCCCCAGGGCAGAGAUGCAGAGGAUGGAUGUGGGGUACAGAUAAGAAUAAGCAGCACUGAGUAGAAAGAAUUAUAGAAGAAGCCUUCCAAUGGCAUGAAAAGGGAUCUAAACCCAGGCCCAGAGUCUGGGCUCUGGACACCAGGAGGGGACUUGCCUCAUUUUGGAGUGAGUCAGUGAGGAGGGAAAUGUCAGGCAGAACAACAAUCAAAACAUCCCAAUAUCCCUGGUUUGGAGAGGGUGCCUGAGGUCCUCCUGGUGAACAGAGGUGGGGAUGUCUGGGGAUUGGGGGGGGGGGGGUUCCUUGAGUGGAAAGCACAUUUUCCUGUGCAACUGUGCCCUCUAUGUGGACAGUUUUUAAAAAGGUCCUUGGUGCUUUCCAGAGCACACAGUCUCUUUGGGACUCUCACUGAUUCCUCACACUCCUGUCUUUCAAGAGGCUCUAUUUAGUUCCCCAUCUCUAGUCCUUUCAGUCUGACAUCUCCCAUGGCCUGUUAAGCUCCAUGAGAAAGAAUUGCUAGCAUUUCAUGUGGCUAAAGCCCCCAAACACCUGCCUCUGCCACAUCCCGACCUGUUUUCCUCCCCAAGAUAUUCCUUUCCCCUCUGGGUUAAUGGUGGUGGUGCUCUAAGCACUUGGGAUAAGAUUUCUGGAAUCACUUAUCUCUCCUUGCUCUGCACACUCAACUAGUCGUCAUAUUCUGAUAGACACACAGGUCACCUCCAGCGGGUCUCUCCCAUGGCUGCCUCCACUGUUCAGGUCUGUGCUUGACUAUCAUGCCUACCACCUCUGCACAUUGCUCCCCUACUAUGGUGCACAUUCUUUAAACAAGGGGAAGGGUAGGAAUUGUUCGGGGAGAGCUGUUAAGAGCCUCAGAGGUCAUAUCAACAACUAGGAACUAAUGCCAGGAGUGACUGAAGAAACCCAUACCUCCAAACCAUGCCCUAAUCUAUGGCCCUUGAUGGCAAUUCAUAUCAGUUAAAGGCAGGGUGUGAACUCAGGCAGUGUACUUAUGUCCUUCUUUGACUUCUUUGAACUGGUUGUAAUAUUGGUUCCCUCAUUAUUAGCAGGUGGAACAAAAUCUUUAAUGAUUUUACCUUUUUUUUUGGUUUUGUUUUUAAUUAUAUUUAACCAACCUCUCCUAAAUUCCUUUGUGGACUGUUGGAAGUAAGCCUUAUCCAAACCAGCAAAACCCAAGGCAUGGCUGAGUGGACACUGACCCCUGUCCAUCUGCGGUAGACUAUAUAGCUAUUGUUUUUCUUGCCUAAUGCACUUUCUCAUUCCCUUCUGGUAACAGACUCUGUACCCUGCUCAUGGGGGAAGUACAUGCUCCUGUUCUGGCCAGUGGCAAUACCUCAUUCUCUUGGCAACUGUACUUGAUUCAUAGGGUAGCGUGGUACAUAAAUAUGAUCAAUCAGAAUUCUGUUCCUGGGAAUAAAGAAUUGCUGGGGGAAAAAGUUUGGUUGGUUUCUACAGGUUUGCCGUAUCAUAGGCUCCCUAUAAAAGAGUCUGAGGCAAAGCUUACAUUGGAAGAUGCAACCCCAGGGAAGUAAGAGAAAAGGAAAAAAGGUAAGUCAUGUGGAGAUGAAGAAAAAGUAAAUUCAAGGUAAUGUUUUAUUAAGCUGGCUCCAAGAAAACCCAGCCGGUUGUACAGUCUUUUAGAAGAACCUUGCAGAACUACCAGGUCUGGGACAGUCUGUCAGGUAGGGGUGGGAAGACAGGAAUGGAGUUUAUCUGCUAGCUCUUGUCUCUCAGUGAAGUUCACCAAAGGGACAUCAAGUCCCUCACACUGCAGGGUUUUAUUUCUUGGUCUCUCGGCAGUUGUUGAGGAAGCUAAAUCUUGGAUCCCAUAGUGUGACAGUCUAUGUCACAAGUGGUGGAAGGACGCAUCCCAGGUUGAGUUGGACUGGAACUGGGGAGUGUGUCUUGUCUUGGGUGCUGAGAGUUUUGGUUCUUAUGGAUUCUGAGUUCUCUCAAUACACUCCUACUUCCAUCAUCCAAGAACUAUCUCAGCCCCUGUUGUAUACCAGGCAUUAUUCUAGGUGUUGGGGAUACAGCAACAAGCAAAACUGUCUCUGCCCUCCUGAAUUUAACUUCUAAUGCACUGGGCAGACUAACAAAUGAAAAGGUAAUAUGUAAAAUGGUGAUAGGUACUAUGGAGAAAAUAAAAGAGAAAGAAGAUAAGUGUUGGGCCCAGGUGUGCUAUUAUAAGAGCACGAAGAAAAUAAUUUCUGAUAAGAUGGUUUUGUGUGUGUGUGUGUGUGUGUGUGUGUGUGUGUGUGUGUGUGUAUGUAUGUAUGUAUGUAUGUAUGUAUGUGUGUUUCUGUCUGGCCCUGCAUGCUCUUUUUAAUUUUAAUUUUAUUUAUGCCAGUAUAGUUAACAUAGAGUGUUAUAUUGGUUUCAGGUGUCCAAUAUAGUGAUUCAACCAUCCCAUACAUCAUCCAGUGCUCAUCAUGACAUGGGCACUCCUUAAUCCCCAUUGCCUAUUUCACCCAUCCUCCCGCCUCCCUUCUGGUAACCAUCAGUUUGUUCUGUAUAGUUAAGAGUCUGUUUCUUGGUUUCUCUCUCCCUCUCUUCCCCUGCUCCUUUGCUUGUUUAUUUCUUAAAUUCCAUAUAUGAGUGAAAUCAUAUGGUAUUUGUCUUUCCCUGACUUAUUUUGCUUAGUAUUAUACUCUCUAGCUCCAUCCAUGCUGUUGCAAAUAGCAAGAUUUCAUUCUUUUUUAAGCUGAGUAAUAUUCCAUUAUGUAUAUAGAUAACACAUACCUUCUUUGUCCAUCAGUUGAUGAACACUUGGGCUGCUUCAAUAAUUUGGCUGUUAUUUAUAAUGCUCCAAAAAACAUGAGGGUGCAUGUAUCCUUUUGAAUUAGUGUUUUUGUAUUUUUUUUCUUUUUCUUUUCUUUCUUCUUCUUCUUCUUUUUUUUUUUUU